GAUGAAGAACGUAGCGAAAUGCGAUAAGUAAUGUGAAUUGCAGAAUUCAGUGAAUCAUCGAAUCUUUGAACGCACCUUGCGCUCCUCGGUAUUCCGAGGAGCAUGCCUGUUUGAGUGUCAUGAAAUUCUCAACCUUUUCAGCUUUCUUUGUUGAUCAGGCUUGGAUGUGGGAGUAUGCGGGCUUCUCAGAAGUCGGCUCUCCUGAAAUGCAUUAGCGGGACCUUUGUUGCCUGGCUUUGGUGUGAUAAUUAUCUACGCCAUUGUAGUCAAGCAGCUUAAAAUGAGGUUUCAGCUUCUAACCGUCUCCCCUGAGACAACUUUUUGACAAUUUGACCUCAAAUCAGGUAGGACUACCCGCUGAACUUAAGCAUAUCAAUAAGCGGAGGA
rnacentral:misc_RNA from 1 species